AAACGGGGUCUAAUACCGGAUACGACCCGCCGAGGCAUCUCGGCGGGUGGAAAGCUCCGGCGGUGAAGGAUGAGCCCGCGGCCUAUCAGCUUGUUGGUGGGGUAAUGGCCUACCAAGGCGACGACGGGUAGCCGGCCUGAGAGGGCGACCGGCCACACUGGGACUGAGACACGGCCCAGACUCCUACGGGAGGCAGCAGUGGGGAAUAUUGCACAAUGGGCGAAAGCCUGAUGCAGCGACGCCGCGUGAGGGAUGACGGCCUUCGGGUUGUAAACCUCUUUCAGCAGGGAAGAAGCGCAAGUGACGGUACCUGCAGAAGAAGCGCCGGC
rnacentral:rRNA from 1 species